UUGCUUUCUGCGAUUUGUACGAUUCGAACCUGCAGAAGGUUUGAGCCGAACGCAGUGAGGCACCGGAGCCGUUUACGGCGACGGCCCGAAGGGCGAGCGAAGCGAGUCAUCCUGCACGACCCACCA
rnacentral:sRNA from 1 species